rnacentral:rRNA from 1 species
GUGUCAGCAGCCGCGGUAAUACGUAGGCAGCGAGCGUUGUUCGGAGUUACUGGGCGUAAAGAGUAUGUAGGCGGUUUCGCAAGUUUGGUGUGAAAUCUCCCGGCUUAACCGGGAGGGUGCGCCGAAAACUGCGGAGCUAGAGUGCGGGAGAGGAGAGCGGAAUUCCUGGUGUAGCGGUGAAAUGCGUAGAUAUCAGGAGGAACACCGGCGGUGUAGACGGCUCUCUGGACCGUGACUGACGCUGAGAUACGAAAGCGUGGGGAGCAAACAGGAUUAGAUACCCUAGUAGUCC